GUUUGAUCCUGGCUCAGGAUGAACGCUGGCGGCGUGCUUAACACAUGCAAGUCGAGCGAAGCACUUAAGUGGAUCUCUUCGGAUUGAAACUUAUUUGACUGAGCGGCGGACGGGUGAGUAACGCGUGGGUAACCUGCCUCGUACAGGAGGAUAACAGUUAGAAAUGGCUGCUAAUACCGCAUAAGCGCACAGGACCGCAUGGUCUGGUGUGAAAAACUCCGGUGGUAUGAGAUGGACCCGCGUCUGAUUAGCUAGUUGGAGGGGUAACGGCCCACCAAGGCAACGAUCAGUAGCCGGCCUGAGAGGGUGAACGGCCACAUUGGGACUGAGACACGGCCCAGACUCCUACGGGAGGCAGCAGUGGGGAAUAUUGCACAAUGGGGGAAACCCUGAUGCAGCGACGCCGCGUGAAGGAAGAAGUAUCUCGGUAUGUAAACUUCUAUCAGCAGGGAAGAAAAUGACGGUACCUGACUAAGAAGCCCCGGCUAACUACGUGCCAGCAGCCGCGGUAAUACGUAGGGGGCAAGCGUUAUCCGGAUUUACUGGGUGUAAAGGGAGCGUAGACGGAAGAGCAAGUCUGAUGUGAAAGGCUGGGGCUUAACCCCAGGACUGCAUUGGAAACUGUUUUUCUAGAGUGCCGGAGAGGUAAGCGGAAUUCCUAGUGUAGCGGUGAAAUGCGUAGAUAUUAGGAGGAACACCAGUGGCGAAGGCGGCUUACUGGNCGGUAACUGACGUUGAGGCUCGAAAGCGUGGGGAGCAAACAGGA
rnacentral:rRNA from 1 species